rnacentral:lncRNA from 1 species
AUACACAGAAAAGCAGGACCCUCAAGUCCUACUUGCUCUCACAAAGAAGAAGUUUUGUGUAUGAAUUAACUUUUAUACGGCCAUUUGAGAUACUUCCUGCAUGUGUUGUCGACUUGUCGGUCAGUGGUGAUAGCUGACUUGUAGCAAUAGCUACACUUCUUGCGUUUCUUUGUUUCUCUCUGACGGAGUUAUGAUUUCUUCUGCAGAUAUAAGGUUUUCACCUCGGUGUUCUGAUGAACAGAUGAAGGAUGAUGAAAGGAAGCACCAAAUCUGCUUAUUUCCAGCUCACUAAACGGCUGCACAUAGGAAUAAGCUGAAGGAUGUAUAUUAUUGGUCUGUUG